rnacentral:rRNA from 1 species
AACGCACCUUGCGCCCCUUGGCAUUCCGAGGGGCACACCCGUUUGAGUGUCGUGACAUUCUCAAAACCCUCUUCCUUUGCCGGAAAGGGUUUUGGACUUGGAGGCCUUUGCUGGUUUCACCUCGAAGCGAGCUCCUCCUAAAUGGAUCAGUAGGGUCUGCUUUGCCGACCCUUGACGUGAUAAGCUUCUUCUACGUCUCGGGUUUCGGCGCUGUGCCUCUGCUUCUAACCGUCUCAUUGACAACGAUGGUGUUCCGGUCACCGCCGAUUCGUCGGUGGGAGGCUUGACCCACAAAACGACCUUGACCUCAAAUCGGGUGAGACUACCCGCUGAACUUAA